rnacentral:rRNA from 1 species
AGAAGCAAUAAUGUUAAUAUGAGUAACAAGAAAGCUUUUCUCCCUACAUACGUGUAUACCAGAACGGAUAACACACUGGUAAUUAACAAAUAUUAAUAUAUUUAACUAACUAAAAUUUAACAUAAUUGUUAAUCCAACACAGGUAUGUAAUUAAGGAAGAUUAAAGAAGUAAAAGGAACUCGGC